CUUAUGCAUGGCUGACCACCAUUACAUUUAAUCUUUUUCUGGCGGCAAUGCUUACAUGCUCGAAACACACGUCGUCGCUGCUCUGGAGGUACCCGCCUUUUCUUUUUUCGCUCCAAAUCUUUAACAUCGGCAAAAAGUUGAUUUUUUAAAAAUCCUAUUUCUUCAUUCAUCUCUCUAGAAUACCAACCACAUUUCAGUAAAUCCCUAAUACAAUUCAAUCCUAAAGAAAUCCCAAAAUUUAGUAAAUUAUCGUUGCUUUAGGACCAAGAAAUCGUCAAAUUGUAGUGGAAGAGAAUAUGCGACUUUGCUUGGAAAAUAAAAUUUUG